GGAGGGCUUCUCGCAGAAGAUGCAGGAGCAGAAGAACGAAGGCUGCCAGGUGUACGGCUUCCUGGAAGUCAACAAGGUGGCAGGAAAUUUCCACUUCGCUCCAGGAAAAAGUUUCCAGCAGUCUCACGUCCACGUGCACGCUGUGGAAAGUAAGUGCUCCUUUAUUU